CGCUACGGAGGCUUAUACAUGCAAGUCGAGGGGCAGCACAGGUAGCAAUACUGGGUGGCGACCGGCAAACGGGUGCGGAACACGUACAGAACCUUCCUUCGAGCGGGGCAUAGCCCAGAGAAAUUUGGAUUAAUACCCCAUAGUAAGUUGAAGAGGCAUCUCUUUGAUUUUAAAGAUUUAUCACUUGAAGAUGGCUGUGCGGCUGAUUAGGUAGUUGGCGGGGUAACGGCCCACCAAGCCUGCGAUCAGUAACUGGUGUGAGAGCACGACCAGUCACACGGGCACUGAGACACGGGCCCGACUCCUACGGGAGGCAGCAGUAAGGAAUAUUGGUCAAUGGACGCAAGUCUGAACCAGCCAUGCCGCGUGGAGGAUGAAGGCCCUCUGGGUUGUAAACUUCUUUUAUCUGGGACGAAAGAGGGACUUUCUAGUUCAACUGACGGUACCAGAGGAAUAAGCACCGGCUAACUCCGUGCCAGCAGCCGCGGUAAUACGGAGGGUGCAAGCG
rnacentral:rRNA from 1 species